rnacentral:rRNA from 1 species
UACGUAGGGGGCGAGCGUUAUCCGGAAUUACUGGGUGUAAAGGGAGCGUAGACGGCGAAGUAAGCCUGAAGUGGAAGCCCGCGGCCCAACCGCGGAACUGCUUUAGGAACUGCUUAGCUGGAGUAUGGGAGGGGUAAGCGGAAUUCCUGGUGUAGCGGUGAAAUGCGUAGAUAUCAGGAGGAACACCGGUGGCGAAGGCGGCUUACUGGACCAUGACUGACGUUGAGGCUCGAAAGCGUGGGGAGCGAACAGG